rnacentral:lncRNA from 13 species
GUGGGGAGGCCAACAGCCAACCGGGGAAGCAGAACUGGGGUACAUUACCAUAACAGAACAAAGCAUCCUGAGAGAAGCUUCUUUUCUCACCCUAACCUGAGGUUCUGUGAUACUAGGGACUGUCUUACCAGUGGACUUUCUUUGAGGCUUGUACUGCAGGCUAACUGGCCACAACAGAUGAUACCAACAGGAUUUGGUGUUGUGAACAAUUAAGCUUCUCUUCACUUUCCUCCCUUAGUUUUCUUGCGUUUUCUCUGGCUUUAUGUUUCCUGAUGUGGGUUUUUUGAACUUGAACCUCACAAAGAACAUUUGUUAAAAGAUGAUGAAAGAGAUAUGUUUACACCAAAUGGCUGGUGCGCUUGUUCUUCUCCUUGCAGAAUACUCUGGGGUGCGCCAAAGCUUAUGGAACUUGAAAUCUUUUCCUGGUCUGGGGUUCCCUGCAAGCAAAAACCACAACCCCGUGCUAGAAAUAAACAGAAUUACCACAAGCCCUGGGACUGUAGGCAUGUGGAAAUCCCUGUGAUACUAAUGUCUGCUUGUUUUCUCCUUUUUUGGUUCGUCUUAGGCAAUGUAACUUGUGAGCAAUUCAGUGGCAGCAAGCCCAUCCUUGGCUGGGCACACGCCUCUGUGGAUCAAUGUGCUAUGCUGCUUGACCUCUGGACCUCUGAAACUGCUCUCCUGGAAAAAAAAGUCAGUUUUAGGUAGAGGCCCAAAGGGAAUAUAUCUACAAGACUGUUUUUAGAACCUUACCCCAUGUCUGACAGAGCCAAUGCCAUGCAGCUCCAAGAUGGACCCACUACUGGUCAGUGCUGAGUCCCUCAGUGACAGUGGUAGUGCCUCUGGGAUAACAGAUUUAGGAAGGGAGAAAAAAAACCUGUGCAACAGCAAUUGCAGCUAGAGAGAGGAGUGAGAAAAAACAGCCCUGCAGACACCAAAGUCAGUGGAGAAAGAGAUGGAGAAGGUGCUCCAGGUGCCAGAGCAGAGACUCCCCUGCAGCCCCUGGUGCAGACCAUGGUGAGGCAGCUGUGCCCCUGUGGCCCAUGGAGGUCCAUGGUGGUGCACAGAUCCACCUGCAGCCCCUGGAGGACCCCACACCAGAGUAAGUGAAUGCCUGAAAGAGGCUGGGAGCCUGUGGCCUAUGGAGAGAGAAGCCCACACUGGAGCAGAUUUUCUGGCAGGACUUGUGACCCUGUGGGGGACCCGUGCUGGAGCUGUUUGAGAAGAACUGCAGCCUGUGGAAAGGACUUGGGUUGGAGAAGUUUGUGGAGGACUGUCUCCUGUGGGAGGGACUCCAUGUAGGGGAAGAGCAUGAGGACUUCUGCCACUGAAGGAGUGGCAAAGAUAACAUGUCAUGAAUUCAUUGCAACUCCCAGUCCCUGUCCCCUUGCCCCACCGGUAGGGGGAGGUAGAGAAAAUCAGGAGUGGAGUAGAGCCUAGGAAGAAGGAAGGGCUGGGAGGAAGCUGUUUUAAGAUCUGGUUUUCUUUUUCAUUAUCCUACUCUGAUUUUGAAUGUCAAUAGAUUAAUUUUCCCCAAGUCAGGUUUGUUUUGCCUAUGACAGUAACUGGUGAGAUCUCUCCUGGUCCCUAUCUCUCCCUAUGAUAAGUUUGUUAUAUCCUCUCUCUCCUACCCUGCUAAGGAGUGGAGUGAUAGAGCAGCUUCAUGGGCACCUGGCAUCCAGUCAUCACAUCGACUGUAAAAAAUUUAGUAUCCAACACCUGAAAGUAAGACUGUUGGAAAGAAUUGCAGUCUUAUGGUGAAUCAAGCAAUAGAUAAAAAGUCUCACGCUAUUUAGAUACCCAGAAAAAAAAAAAAAGGAGAAAAAGUGAUUCCUCCCCCACCAGCUUUACACUGCCCCUUCAUUACAAUGGAUUUGGUACUUGCAUCUUGCAAUGCACUGGGGCAUUAGUUUUCCUAUGGGUACAGAAUAUUAAACAGUAAUGAUGGAAGUAAUUACUGAGGUUAGCCUGGCCUCAGGAUUGCUGCAUCAGUAUCCUGACCUGGUGGUACAACUUUCCCUGCCCUUUGGCCACAGUCUAUUACUCUUUUGAGUACAGCUGCCCAGCUGGAUAUGUGUGCACUGUGACUUCACAUACAGAAUCCACACAUUACCUGCAGGUACAAAACUGCCCCUCGUUCCCAAUCCCUCAGCUGUGCAACAUUGUGGGUUAUGCAGAGCAGCCACAGAGCAGCUGAUAUACACCCAGAAGCCAAGAGCUCCUUGCCUCAGGUCCCUUCUGGAUUCCUGCCUCUGUCUUGAGCCCCUUGCUCAUAUUCCUCUUCCCACAGACCUUGUGAUUUUUUGUUGGUUAUCUGAGGGUUUAUUUUUAAGUGCAGGCAGUUUUAAUGGGCAGGCAUAACCAUAGUAGAUGUGACAAUGUGGUUAAUAAACCAUGUCAGCUAAUGAAAGAGAAUUUUAAACAUUUUCUGUUUUCAUGAGCAAAUGAGACUACUUAGAUGUGUUCCAAUAUAAUUACAUUUAUUACGACUACAGUUCUAUUUUCAUAUUGGAUGUUUGAUAUCUGAUGUGCAAUAAAGCAUUGCUGUUUAUUCUUGCAAAUGAAGCUAUUGUAAGGUUUUUUAUGUAGACAAUUAAUAAAAGCCUUAUUUGAGACCUAUUUGUUCUUUCUUUGUUUUUGUUGGUUUUAAGUUCUACUUUGAGGAACAUUUAUUUAGCUAGAGUUUCACCCUUCUCUUGGUUUGGUGUGCUCCAUCCCCAAAGCUCUUGAGUGUGUCUACCAGGAACUCCACAGCAUAUACAGACCAAAAACAGACACUAAAGGCGGUAAUCUAGAAAAAUAAGUAAUGCAGCUAAUAGUUGGUAAGUGGCUAACUAUGAAAACCCCAGAAACUUUCUAGAAUUCUUUGAUUCAAAAGGACAUAAGUUCCAUUUUGCUUAUGUUAGUAGUAACUCUUUCAAGUAGAAUGUCCCAGUGUGAUCUUGCUAGUUCAAUUACACUUCCUGGUUAAAUUCUAGCUAUUUGAUUCUUAAUUUAUUUACUUAUUGCUUAAGAUUGGUGAAGAUACAUUCUAUCCACCUUUAAAACAAGAUUUUUUUUUUUCCUGCAAAUGACCACAGAAACGUAGAACUCUUGACCUCAUGAUGGCAGCAAGUAGAAACAACCAGCUUAAUUAGAAGGAAAAUGUACAUGGUUAAUACUGAUGUGAGGUCAUGAUAAGUCUCCAGAUUUUGUUUGUGUGUGUGUACAGUCUACAAAGAAAAGAAAGACUUGACAUUAAAGCAAAUAUUGUUAUAGCUGAAGUAAAUUAUUACUAUAAUGUCUACUAUUUCCUGGUGUAGGACUCCAAAUUUGGUUGGGUAUAAUUUUGAUAAAUGCUAAUUAUUGUGAAUGAAAUUACUGAUGUUGGAUGUCUCAGCAGGUUGAGGUUUUUUUAAUUAGUCAGCUUAGUUGUUGCUUGCUACUUCUCCUGUCCUCACUGGAAACAGAAAAUACGCUGUUCUCCUUGUAGCAGCUCUGUGAAGAAGCACGUAAAGAUGACUUGUCCUGUCCCACCCAUCCAGAGCCAGAG